UCAAGCGACUAAGUGUAUGUGGUGGAUGCCUUGGCGAUCACAGGCGAUGAAGGACGUGACAGCCUGCGAAAAGCUGUGGGGAGCUGGCAAAUAAGCUUUGAUCCACAGAUGUCCGAAUGAGGGAACUCACCUGCUUUGCAGGUAUCCCAUCCUGAAUAUAUAGGGAUGGGAGGCGAACGAAGCGAACUGAAACAUCUAAGUAGCUUCAGGAAAAGAAAUCAACCGAGAUUCCGAAAGUAGCGGCGAGCGAAAUCGGAUCAGCCCAGCACUCGAUAGCAGCCAACUUACGGGAACGGUCUGGAAAGUCCGGCCAUAGAGGGUGAUAGCCCCUUACUGGAAAAGGCAGCUGUGGUACUAAGUGUGCGAUAAGUAGAGCGGGACACGUGACAUCCUGCUCGAAGAUGGGGGGACCAUCCUCCAAGGCUAAAUACUCGUGAUCGACCGAUAGCGUACCAGUACUGUGAAGGAAAGGUUAAAAGAACCCCGGGAGGGGAGUGAAAUAGAUCCUGAAACCGCAUACAUACAAACAGUAGGAGCCUCGUUAAGGGGUGACUGCGUACCUUUUGCAUAAUGGGUCAGCGACUUACGUUUAAUGGCGAGCUUAACCGUAUAGGGGAGGCGCAGCGAAAGCGAGUUCGAACAGAGCGUUCAGUCGUUAGGCGUAGACCCGAAACCAGAUGAUCUAUCCAUGGCCAGGUUGAAGGUGUGGUAACACACACUGGAGGGCCGAACCGACUAGUGUUGCAAAAUUAGCGGAUGAGCUGUGGAUAGGGGUGAAAGGCUAAACAAAUCUGGAGAUAGCUGGUUCUCCCCGAAAACUAUUGAGGUAGUGCCUCGUGUAUGACUCCAGGGGGUAGAGCACUGUUAUGGCUAGGGGGACAUGGCGUCUUACCAAACCAUGGCAAACUCCGAAUACUUGGAAGUUUGAGCACGGGAGACAGAGCACCGGGUGCUAACGUCCGGACUCAAGAGGGAAACAACCCAGACCGCCGGCUAAGGUCCCUAAUAUUGACUAAGUGGAAAACGAAGUGGAAAGGCUAAGACAGUCAGGAAGUUGGCUUAGAAGCAGCCAUCCUUCAAAGAAAGCGUAAUAGCUCACUAAUCGAGUCUUUCUGCGCGGAAGAUGUAACGGGGCUAAGUCAAUAACCGAAGCCGCGGAUUCACACUUAUGUGUGAGUGGUAGGGGAGCGUUCUGUAAGCCUGCGAAGGUGACUCGUAAGGGUUGCUGGAGGUAUCAGAAGUGCGAAUGCUGACAUGAGUAACGUUAAAGCGGGUGAAAAGCCCGCUCGCCGUAAGCCCAAGGUUUCCUGCUCUACGUUCAUCGGAGCAGGGUGAGUCGGCCCCUAAGGUGAGGCUGAGAAGCGUAACUGAUGGGAACAAGGUUAAUAUUCCUUGACCACCGCUGAAUGCGAAGGGGGGACGGAGUAUUGAAGAUCAUCCGGGUGUUGGAUAUCCCGGUUUGCGAGCGUAGGAGGCUGACAGGCAAAUCCGUCAGCGAAUCUCCGAGGCGAAGCAUCGAGCUCUCUUUUGAGCGAAGUGAUUGGAUGUGCUUCCAGGAAAAGCCUCUAAGCUCCAGUUCAGCGGGACCGUACCGCAAACCGACACUGGUGGGCGAGCUGAAUAUGCUCAGGCGCUUGAGAGAACUCAGGAGAAGGAACUCGGCAAAUUGACACCGUAACUUCGGGAUAAGGUGUGCCUUUGUAGCGUGGAGGGAGAAACACCCCGAGCGCGAAGAGGUCUCAGAUAAUCGGUGGCUGCGACUGUUUAUUAAAAACACAGCACUCUGCAAAGACGAAAGUCGACGUAUAGGGUGUGAUGCCUGCCCGGUGCUGGAAGAUUAAUUGAUGGGGUGCAAGCUCCUGAUCGAAGUCCCAGUAAACGGCGGCCGUAACUAUAACGGUCCUAAGGUAGCGAAAUUCCUUGUC
rnacentral:rRNA from 1 species